UACGUAGGGUGCAAGCGUUAAUCGGAAUUACUGGGCGUAAAGCGUGCGCAGGCGGUUUUGUAAGUCUGACGUGAAAUCCCCGGGCUUAACCUGGGAAUUGCGUUGGAGACUGCAAGGCUGGAGUCUGGCAGAGGGGGGUAGAAUUCCACGUGUAGCAGUGAAAUGCGUAGAGAUGUGGAGGAACACCGAUGGCGAAGGCAGCCCCCUGGGUCAAGACUGACGCUCAUGCACGAAAGCGUGGGGAUCAAACAGG
rnacentral:rRNA from 1 species